GGCGGAUUUCUUGAUAAUGGAGGAGCGGAGUUAAAUGCCUCGCAUGCCUUUUUACUUUCUUUAAGAUAUUCAUCGGCUGCUUGCAAUGCAGCUACAGCCAUCCCAUGGGACUUCUCUGUGUUUCCCUCGUCAAGUAUCAAACCAUGAUAAUAGUAAGCUGCAGCCUUUGCUUCAAUGUAUUUCCAUUUAACGAAGAGCCGGUGCUUCUCUCCCCAACCAUUUGACAAUGGA
rnacentral:misc_RNA from 1 species